rnacentral:rRNA from 1 species
GGAUUAGAUACCCUGGUAGUCCACGCCGUAAACGAUGAUCACUAGACGUCAGUCGGGCUUGCCCGAUUGGUGUCGUAGCUAACGCGCUAAGUGGUCCGCCUGGGGAGUACGGUCGCAAGAUUAAAACUCAAAGGAAUUGACGGGGGUCCGCACAAGCGGUGGAACAUGUGGUUUAAUUCGACAAUACGCGAGGAACCUUACCUGGGUUUGACAUGUAUUUGACAAUUAUAGAGAUAUAAUCUUCGAAGCUUGCUUUGACAGAUGCACAGGUGCUGCAUGGCUGUCGUCAGCUCGUGCCG